GACGAACGCUGGCGGCGUGCUUAACACAUGCAAGUCGAACGGAAAGGCCCUGCUUUUGUGGGGUGCUCGAGUGGCGAACGGGUGAGUAACACGUGAGUAACCUGCCCUUGACUUUGGGAUAACUUCAGGAAACUGGGGCUAAUACCGGAUAGGAGCUCCUGCUGCAUGGUGGGGGUUGGAAAGUUUCGGCGGUUGGGGAUGGACUCGCGGCUUAUCAGCUUGUUGGUGGGGUAGUGGCUUACCAAGGCUUUGACGGGUAGCCGGCCUGAGAGGGUGACCGGCCACGUUGGGACUGAGAUACGGCCCAGACUCCUACGGGAGGCAGCAGUGGGGAAUAUUGCACCAUGGGCGGAAGCCUGAUGCAGCAACGCCGCGUGCGGGAUGACGGCCUUCGGGUUGUAAACCGCUUUCGCCUGUGACGAAGCGUGAGUGACGGUAAUGGGUAAAGAAGCACCGGCUAACUACGUG
rnacentral:rRNA from 1 species